GUGGUGUACGCUGGUCUCCGGCUCUCAGCAACCACCUCUCCAAAUGCCGUGACCAUUGCCCCAGAAGACUACAAGACUAUCAUUGUCAGAAAAUAAAUAUGUUAUUAUUUUACACAACAUAUUCAACAUCAUCUGAGGAACAAUUAUUCAUAUAAUUAAUUGUAUAAAAAAAUUUAUUUAGUUGCUUACAAUGUGAUACUUUUUUCUCGAAUCAUUCAACUGGGUCAUGAUUUCGUUCUGAUUUUCUUAUAUCGAUAACCAUGAGAUGCUUUAGAGUAAAUCUUUAAUUUUAUUUGAGUAAUUAAUAGUGUUUACGGUUGGCGAGUUACUUUCGCCUUUUAAUUGAAUCGUCUGUUUAAAUUAAUUCACAUUAAUUUUUUACUUUAUUGUGUCGACUUCCUAAACUGAUUAAUAGCCUUCAGUAGCUAUACCUAUAGCUACUGAUAUAAUUAAAAAUAACAAUUAAUUUUAAUCGCACGCGUUAGAACCCGAAGAUCUAAUUGAAGAUGUGAAAUUUGCUGUACAAUUUUUAUUAAAUACUUUCCAAGAAGCUGCUCAUCAGUUCUCAUUUAUGUACAUUAAUACACGCUAAAUUAUCGUGCUCAUAUAGAUAUAGAUUUAAUGGAAAAGGCGAAAGUAGAGACGUCGUUACGGUUCUUUAUGUACCAACCUGUAUAAUAUUUCAUUGAUUUUUGAUCCCUUUGGGUUUUUUUCAUGUAGCAUUCAUUUUUAGUGCGAAGAAAUCAUCAAAUAUCACUAUUGAAAUUCAAAAUAAAAAAAUAACACCGACCUCUUAAAUUAUUGGUCAAUAUUUGAACGAGUAUGAGGUAAUCUGGAUAAGGCUACAAUUUAUGUUAUAGAAAUCUAAAUGUAAUUGAGCAAAGGCGUUUUGAAUCAUAGAAUAUUUAUUUUUAAAUAUUUAUUUCAUCUUAUCUGCAGAAUAGUAUCGUCUUUACACGCGACUGAAGGAUAUUGCGUGAAGAAAUAUCACAAAUACCAGUUGCGAGUUAUGACUAAUGACUAUUUGGGAGUGAGGAAAUACUUUUAAUUUAUUGUAUAUUAGCUGUGUAAGGUCUAGUUGGACUGUAGAAAGUAGAAGCGGAUUUACGGCUGGAAUAAUUUGAUGAACGUUGAGUAAUACGAUGAUUCAUAGUGAAAAUAGUAUUUUCUUCCUCAUUUUCAUUGCAACUUUUACGAGAAACUGUAAAAAGUAUUCUUCUCAAGCCGUAGAAUUAUUUUUUGAAUUUUUAUUUCUUUAUUGCUGAUAUAUAUUCACACAGUCAAUUUCAUCUUGACAUUGACCACCUCCGGAUAGUGAAAUUUGGGUUGUAUUUGUAAAAGCGAGUUUAACGAAAGAGAAAUGAAAAAAAAAAAGUACUUAAUAUUGACCAAGAUGCGAUGAGUCAAGCUUUAAGUUGACUUCACCUGGCCAAGUGUCAAUGUGCUAAUCGUUAUCCGUCACGAGUCUAUUACACGCAUUGCGAAACUAAAGUUGAUAAAUAAUAAACAUGAAGGUAUACUUAGUGUAAGUGUAAAUUAUCCUCACCAGAUUAUAAUAUAGGCGAUGGCAAUCAACAGCGGCCCAUCCUCUUCCGGCUUCCGAAUUGUUCCAGACAUCCGGCUGAAAAUUUCGCUAACACCAGAAGCAAUCAAGCGUAAUCAUUUUAUGACAGCUGUUAAUUUUAUGAAUUAUGUAAAAAUAUAAGGACGAGUUAAUAAUUAAAUAUUGUAUAGCUAAGAAAUGGCAUCGAUGCGUAAGUCAACGAUUAACUUCUCUAGGAAUCAACGCCUUCUCAUCAGGUACUUGCGAUCAUGUAACAUACCCUUGACAUACUUUUAGUUAUAUAAUUAUUAGUUGUAUUGUUGUCAAUCACAGAAUACGAAUCUUUAGAAUAACAACGACAUAUCAUUA